rnacentral:rRNA from 1 species
UACGGGGGGGGCAAGCGUUGUUCGGAAUUACUGGGCGUAAAGGGCUCGUAGGCGGCCAACUAAGUCGGAUGUGAAAUCCCCAGGCUUAACCUGGGAACUGCAUUCUAUACUGCGGUGCUUGAGGACUGGAGAGGAGACUGGAAUUCAUGGUGUAGCAGUGAAAUGCGUAGAGAUCAUGAGGAAGACCAGUGGCGAAGGCGGGUCUCUGGACAGUUCCUGACACUGAGACACGAAGGCCAGGGGAGCAAACGGG